AACAACAUUCCUUAGCCUGCCUGGGUACGUGCAGGUCUAGCCGGUCAGUUUUCAGGACAAAUCAUAAAAAUACUUAUCCAUACAGAACAGAUACUAUGGAUAUUGGUCUGCAGUUCUCUCUUUCUGGUGAUGUCUUUACCUGAUUUUGAUAUAGGGUAAUGCUGGCCUCAUAGAAUGAAUUUGGAAGUUUUCCUUUUCUACUUUUUGGACCCAUUUGAGAAUAGGAAUUUAUACAUUUGAGAAGACAGCGUUUAAGCAGACAUGUGAAGAAGGUAGAGGAAGAGCUGCAGGAUGUCUGUGGGAUGAGCAUUCCAGGCAGAUGGACGGAGCGCAGAGGCCCGAAAGUGGGAGUGAACCUGGAGCGCUAAAGCAACAGCAGAGAAUAGCGUGGUUGCAGCAGAGCGAGCAAAGGAAGGGGAGGGAAGCAAAGUCAGAGAGGUGGCGCCAGGUCUAGCGGCCACAGAAAGGACCCUGUCACAUGACUUGAGAUGGAAAUCACCACUAACGGUUGACUGGUCUGUUUGUAAGUAGUUUAUUGAAGUGUGUAUCAAUUUCUUAGGACUGCCAUACAAAUCACUACAAACGGGAUGGCUUAAACCAAUAGCAAUUUUGUUCUCUCCAUGUUCGGGCAUCUAGAAAUCUAAAAUCAGGGUGUCCGUAGGGUUCAUUCUUCCUGGAGGCUGAGCCUGAGGAACUAUAAAAUCUGGAGGAAGGGAGAUAAUACAGCUAAGACUGAGAACUAUUAGCAAGACAGGAACGAACCAAGAGAAUGUGGUGUCUCUCCUAGAAAUCAAGUGAAGAACCUGUUUCAACGGUGCCGAAGAAAUGUUGCUGGGAGGUUAACUGAGAGGGGGACUGAGACUGACCAUCAGCUGGGCAGUACGAAAGUCACUGGAGACCUUGAUAAGAAUAAUAACAGCUGAGACAAUGGGAGGAAAGGAAAGGAAGAAAACACAAUUCUUUAGAGACACUUUGCUCUAAGAGCGGAUAAUGGAGCAAUAUAGAAAAGUGUCAUGUUCAGCAGCACUUUGGCCCCCAAUGAGUUUUCUUCUGGUUAAAAGCAGGUGCCUGAGUAUUUGAAGAAUUGCCCAAGAGCAUGGAGUGCAUGCGGUACAAGCCAAGGGCCUGGUCCAACCCUAUUGUCAUGCUGAUUUUGCCCCCCCCACCUCCCGCCACGGAUGAAAAGAGGUGGGGGGGAGGGGCAGAGAGAGAGAGAAUCUUAAACAGGCUCCACACCCAGCGUGGGAACCUAAGAUAAGGAAUCAGCACAGGAAGUUCAAGUAAUUUGCAUAAAGUCACCCAGCCUGUACAGAGCAGACCUGAAAUCCAAUUCGGGAAUUCUGACUCUAGCUGCUAUGCUGUUGUAGUAGACAGAAGUCUACUAGUAAAUUACAAGCACGGAAGCUGGUAGGGAAAUUAGCUUUUAAUCAAACCCUGAAUCAGGUCUCAUACAUUUUAGAGACUCCACCAAAUGACAGUCAAAGAAAAAAAGACAGUAGCAGUCCCCAACAAAGGGAAAAGAGAAAGAGGCCUCCAUGGAAGGGAGUUUAACAAACGUGUGGGAUACAGAAAGUAAGUGAAGGAAUGGUAACCAAGGAGGCCAGACCAAGGAAGUCACAGCCUUCAGCCCUCACAGACCCAGCCACACAAGAGAUCUGCCUACAGGAAGUCAAAAGAGGCUGUGAACCCAAGCGCAUGUCCCUGGCCAGAGAGCAGAGGUAAGACAGGAAGCUGAACUACUUCUGAACAAAGAAUAGUCAACUCCCUGAUGCUGUACAAAGAAGUGAACUGUUCGUAGGAGAACCCGGCAGCGAGAAUGGGUGCUGGUACCUUAAGGCAAAGUCCUCAAUAUCGUGACAUUCAGGAUUCUCACUUAACAUCCAGCUCCCUCGUCUGCUUUCCCUAUAGUAAAGCCCAACUAGUUGAUUUUCCCCACAAAAUACAGAGCACUUAAGUCAGCUUUGUAGCCCAACUUCUAAGCAUGAGCAUAAGCAAAGACAAUCAGACAUUUAAAGAAAGCACACCAGACAGAAACACCACAACUCACAAACCAGAAGAGUGAGACAAUCCAGAGAACAAAAGCCAACAAACGUCCCUGUCCUACCAGGUACCCCAAUGAGAUCCGUGAAAUUACUGCAUCUAUGAUCCUAGUUUUCUUCCUCCCAUCUUCAACCCAAAUCCGCACUGAUGAUGGCUCUGACAAUAUGUCACAUGCCGUAACUGCUGGCUGAGGGGCUCAGACCGCCAAAAGUCAGAGCCUACAGGGCUCUGUGCUGGGUCUCUUUUUGCCCUCUGCCAAGUGACCUCGUCGAUAUGUUGUAAGAUCCAUUGAAGGAGAAGCCUGGUCUCUCUUCAUUGAAUUUGCAGUGCUAAGAACAGUGCCUGGCACCUUGUGAAAUGAAUGCUGGCAUUAUCCAAACCUCUCCAGUGAGUUCUAGACCAGGACCACCAGCUGCCUGCUUGUUAUUUCUAGAUCUUACCUCACAAGGGCCUCAAAAUACAUUCUAAACUUGCUCCUUCCCCCACCCCGACUAACCUAAGCAUGGUCUUUAUUUCUUUUCAAUCUCCC